UACGAAGGGGGCUAGCGUUGCUCGGAAUCACUGGGCGUAAAGCGCACGUAGGCGGAUUGCUAAGUCAGGGGUGAAAUCCUGGAGCUCAACUCCAGAACUGCCUUUGAUACUGGCGACCUUGAGUCCGGGAGAGGUGAGUGGAACUGCGAGUGUAGAGGUGAAAUUCGUAGAUAUCGGUAGGAACACCCGUGGCGAAGGCGGUCUCCUGGGACGUUCUUGACGCUGAGGCGCGAAAGCUGGGGGAGCGAACGGG
rnacentral:rRNA from 1 species